rnacentral:rRNA from 1 species
AUACGUAGGGGGCGAGCGUUGUCCGGAAUGAUUGGGCGUAAAGGGCGCGUAGGCGGCGCGGUAAGUCUGGAGUGAAAGUCCUGCUUUCAAGGUGGGAAUUGCUUUGGAUACUGCCGCGCUUGAGUGCAGGAGAGGUUAUCGGAAUUCCCGGUGUAGCGGUGAAAUGCGUAGAGAUCGGGAGGAACACCAGUGGCGAAGGCGAGUAACUGGACUGCAACUGACGCUGAGGCGCGAAAGUGUGGGGAGCAAACAGGAUUAGAUACCCUGGUAGUCCACACUGUAAACGAUGAAUACUAGGUGUAGGGGGUAUCGACUCCCUCUGUGCCGCAGUUAACACAAUAAGUACUCCGCCUGGGGAGUACGGCCGCAAGGUUGAAACUCAAAUGAAUUGACGGGG